CAAGCCAUUAAGAAAUCACCGCGCAUCCACCUACCCGUCCUUAUCCUCUCUCCUCCUCCCUCCUCCCUCCUCCCUCCAUAUCCAGCCCUCUCUUCCUUCCUAGUCCCUCCAGAUCCAACACCUCCUCCCUCAGAUCCACAGGCGGCAGCACCGCGGGCGAUCGGAGGAGAGGGUGGUGGCGGGCUCGGGGCGCGGGCGGCGUGCUCGGGUGUGGGCGAUAGCGCUCGGGUGCGGGCGACGGAGGAGAGUGCGGCGGCGAGCUCGGGGCGCGGGUGGUGAGGUCAGGCGUGGGCGGCGGCGCUCGGGCACGGGUGACGGAGGAGAGGCGGCGUGAGGUCAGGCGUAGGCGGCCGGGCGGCGGCGCUCGGCGACAGGGAGGCCGAGGCGGCGGAUCCGCGACGGGGAGGCGCGAGGUGGCGGAUCCGGCGAUGGGGAGGUGCGAGGUGGCGGAUCCGCGACGGGAAGGCCAAGCGGCGGAUCCACAGCGGUGGUGGCGAGGCGGAGGCGGUGGAGGUCGCCGGGGCUCGGCAGCAGGGUCGUCGAGGCGGUGGAGGUCGCCGGGGCUCGGCAGCAGCGUCGUCGAGGCGGAGGCGGUUGAGGCCGACGGGGCUCGGUAGUGGCAACGGUGAUGGUGCAGGGGACUUCAAGGACGACGACGCCGGCGACAGCGGUUCUCUGUAUUUGUGAUGCUUGUAAUAUUUGUGAUGAUAUUUGUGAAGCAUUGUAUUUGGAUUGAUGCUUGGUGUUCAAAUUUUUUGUUAAAUGUGUGGAUAUUUUUGAUGCUUGAAUGCUUGGGAGAAUGGAAAUUUUUAGCUGUAAAUUGUACAUGUAAAUUUAUGUGUGGAUGGAGCGCAGACGGAGGUGGA